rnacentral:ncRNA from 17 species
UAAAAACAGUACUUUUGCAGCGCUUUCGGGCACAAUGGAAUUCGGUAGUUUGCCAUAAGCGAAGAAGCCGAAGCUGUACCCGCAGCCGUAUGUUCCCUAUUUACAGGGUUAUCCGACAUUUUCAAAUGUAAAAGUCACUGUCCCGAUAAAUCGGGGUGGGAAGGCAACGGAUAACCGGGAACGAGCCGGAAGACCUGACCGAAAGCAUCAGCCAUGCA